GACGAACGCUGGCGGCGUGCUUAACACAUGCAAGUCGAACGGAAAGGCCCUGCUUUUGUGGGGUGCUCGAGUGGCGAACGGGUGAGUAACACGUGAGUAACCUGCCCUUGACUUUGGGAUAACUUCAGGAAACUGGGGCUAAUACCGGAUAGGAGCUCCUGCUGCAUGGUGGGGGUUGGAAAGUUUCGGCGGGUGGGGAUGGACUCGCGGCUUAUCAGCUUGUUGGUGGGGUAGUGGCUUACCAAGGCUUUGACGGGUAGCCGGCCUGAGAGGGUGACCGGCCACCUUGGGACUGCGAUACGGCCCAGACUCCUACGGUAGGCAGCGGUGGGGAAUAUUGCACAAUGGGCGGAAGCCUGAUGCAGCAACGCCGCGUGCGGGAUGACGGCCUUCGGGUUGUAAACCGCUUUCGCCUGUGACGAAGCGUGAGUGACGGUAAUGGGUAAAGAAGCACCGGCUAACUACGUG
rnacentral:rRNA from 1 species